rnacentral:lncRNA from 1 species
UUUUUUAGCGAUUUAUUUUCUAGCACUUAAAACAUGUCCAUGGAUGCUACAAAAAUUGAUCAAAAGAUCAUUUGAAGACUCAAAGUUUUAAAAGGUUCGGUUCCAGGCAUCACGAUUACAUUAUUUGUGAAACAGGAGAGCAGAAGCCAGACAGGAAUGCUGCUUUGUCGAUUGAAGUAAAGGAUUCACCACACGUUUCUUAAUGGCAGGUGAGGUGUGCAGACAAAGUGGUGUUAACUACAGAGAAGCCCCUACAUGCCCCUGCUGCCCAAGUCCCGAGGCAGGGAAGGCUGUGCAUAGGGGUUGCAUU